GUAGCUCAGCUGGGAGAGCACCGCGUUCGCAUCGCGGGGGUCAGGGGUUCGAGUCCCC
rnacentral:tRNA from 1 species